AUGAAAAAGAUGUGGAGCACUUUUUUCUUCUGUGUCCUUUUCACUCUCUUUCCAGGGGCUCUCUUCAAAUGGAAAUGUACACACCACAGUUUGGUCGAGUAUCUGAAUAUUUCCAAUGACAACAAGCUCCUGUUAUAUACCAGACCGAAGAAGAACUGGAGGGAACCAUUGGAUGUCCAGCUGGAUUUUACUCUCGUUUCUAUCCUGGCAGUGGUAGAAAAGUUGCAGGUGAUAACAACUUAUUUCUGGCUGUUUGUGGUGAGUCAUUUUUAUCAUUAUCAUCUGUAGUAAAUCUGUUAAUUUGAUCCAAUCAGACUGCAACAGGUCUUUACAAAUUCACUAAAUUUGUUAAAUCCCUUUUUAUUUGGUUUCUUUUAAAUAGUUUUAAUCUCAUGGACUAUUUCAUUUCAUUUUAACAGUAACUUUCUAUAUAGAUAUACCUUUAUAUGUACUCUUAGUUUGUUUUAAUUUAUAUAAUCUGCCUCGUGCCCUAGUUUCAGGGAAAGUCAGUUAUGAUGUAAGGGCUCUUUUAUAUUGUAAUUAUAGAAGUUUGAUCACACUUCAAUUGUUAUGGCACCAUCCUAUCGAGUCUUAGAAUUUGUAGGGUUAUGUAGGCUGCAAUUAUGGGAAUUAAACUGGUAUCAAUGUCAUAUAAUAAUUGUGUAGUGUGAAACAGAACUAAAUGAAUGCACAAUUUGCAUAGAUUAAUAAUAAUAUGUUGUUUACUCUUCUUUGCCCUGUCCCUUUUCAUGCCUACCCUCCAAGCAGAAAUGGAAAAAUGAUUUUGUAUCUUGGGAUCCUUCCGAUUUCUGUAAUAUUACCCAUCUGACUCUGCCAGCGGAUAAAUUCUGGAUACCUGAAAUCUCUAUAGAAGAACAGUAAGGAUGAUUUGUUGCACUGCUAACUUCUCUGGAGCUAUGUUUUACUGUUUGAAAUAUUUCUCCAUUGUAAACACUGAAGAGGUUUUCACACUGAGUAGUAUGAUUAACCUUUGGAGAAUGUACCAAAUAUUUUGCCUGAAAUUGGGACGAGAAAGUAAGUUUUUCACAGUAUAAACUAAACAAAUUGCAAAAAUGAUGUUGUUGCCAUUCCAAUCAGUCAAGGUAGUGUAGGUGCAAAAGAUUUGUUAUGUUAGCCUAUUGCAGUUAUGAUUCCAAAAUUCGUACAGGAGCAGAGAAAUCACCAGGAAUGCCCUUCAAACACAUCCUUCUGAAGAACAAUGCAAACUGCAGCAGAAGCUAGGAUACCAACUGAGUGGAGCCAAUACUCACAAGCCUUUUCUUCAGUCUCUAUUUUAAUUUGGCUUUUC
rnacentral:lncRNA from 1 species